ACAGAAGAAGCACCGGCUAACUCCGUGCCAGCAGCCGCGGUAAUACGGAGGGUGCGAGCGUUAAUCGGAAUUACUGGGCGUAAAGCGCAUGCAGGUGGUUUGUUAAGUCAGAUGUGAAAGCCCUGGGCUCAACCUCGGAAUUGCAUUUGAAACUGACAAGCUAGAGUACUGUAGAGGGGGGUAGAAUUUCAGGUGUAGCGGUGAAAUGCGUAGAGAUCUGAAGGAAUACCGGUGGCGAAGGCGGCCCCCUGGACAGAUACUGACACUCAGAUGCGAAAGCGUGGGGAGCAAACAGGAUUAGAUACCCUGGUAGUCCACGCCGUAAACGAUGUCUACUUGGAGGUUGUGCCCUAGAGCCGUGGCUUUCGGAGCUAACGCGUUAAGUAGACCGCCUGGGGAGUACGGUCGCAAGAUUAAAACUCAAAUGAAUUGACGGGGGCCCGCACAAGCGGUGGAGCAUGUGGUUUAAUUCGAUGCAACGCGAAGAACCUUACCUACUCUUGAUUCCAGAGAAUCUAGCGGAGACGCUGGAGUGCCUUCGGGAACUC
rnacentral:rRNA from 1 species